ACUCCUACGGGAGGCAGCAGUGGGGAAUAUUUGGACAAUGGGCGAAAGCCUGAUCCAGCAAUGCCGCGUGAGUGAUGGAAGGCCUUAGGGUUGUAAAGCUCUUUUACCAGGGAUGAUAAUGACAGUACCUGGAGAAAUAAAGNUCCCCGGCUAACUCCGUGCCAGCAGCCGCGGUAAUACGGAGGGAGCUAGCGUUGUUCGGAAUUUACUGGGCGUAAAGCGCGCGUAGGCGGUCUAUUAAGUCAGA
rnacentral:rRNA from 1 species